UAUGGGUGUACAACACAAUUGCAUGAAGAAUCAUUUUGGUCAAUGGUUGAAAGUGAUUCCACAUCCACAUUCAUUUUUUCGUCAACGAUUACUCAGCAAUGAAACUUGGUUUGCACAUUGAACCGCAAUCAGCUGUAAUUUAGUACAAUCAUACUAAACAUCCAGGCUCAAUUUAGAUUGGACACGUGUCAAUGCAUAAUUGAACAGUUUAAACUAUUAAAACAAAAACUCCAAUCGUUACUUAUGCGAUGACAAGGCAUAGAAAGAAAGGUGAUCAAAGGCCCACCAGGGCACUUCUCCACUGGCAAAGGACGGACGCUGUCAAACCUGGCAGAGCAGAGGUCGUGAGUUCGAAACAUGGGGCUCUUGGAAGGCAAGAAUUUAUUCUUGAAAGGCAAGGGAACAUUUGGAAGGCAAUGAUUUAUUCUUGGAAGGCAAGUGGGAACUUGGAAGGCAAGGAUUAUUCUUGGAAGGCAAGGUGCAACUUGGAUUGACUUGCUUGGCACUUUGUCAGACCAGGUGGGGAGCGCUCAGACCCUGGCCAGUUGGAGGCACAUCCUGCGAUUAACCGGACUGUGUGAAGAGGGGCCGGAUCACAGACCCAAGAAUUAGUCUAGAAUAGGACACCUUGUAAAAAAAAAAAAAAAAAAAGAAUUGAAGGAAAACUAUUUUUUUUAGAGUAGAUAAAUCAUCACAUGAUUCUCCAAUUUCCCCCAACAAGACUCAGUGAUAUUGAGCAAGCACACUUACUUAUGGUACAACACACGGCCUCAAGCUGCUAUGCGAUAUCCCUCAAUUGUUUGCACCAUCUCAGCUGAUUGAGAAAUUACAUAAGUACCUUUACUUUCUACAUAGAUUUGAUGGAAAUUACCUAUUCAACAGCUUGAAGUCGUUGUAAAGAAGUGGUUUGGCUCGCCCCCCAGGGCACUUCUCCACUGGCAAAGGACGGACGCUGUCAAACCUGGCAGAGCAGAGGUCGUGAGUUCGAAACAUGGGGCUCUUGGAAGGCAAGAAUUUAUUCUUGAAAGGCAAGGGAACAUUUGGAAGGCAAUGAUUUAUUCUUGGAAGGCAAGUGGGAACUUGGAAGGCAAGGAUUAUUCUUGGAAGGCAAGGUGCAACUUGGAUUGACUUGCUUGGCACUUUGUCAGACCAGGUGGGGAGCGCUCAGACCCUGGCCAGUUGGAGGCACAUCCUGCGAUUAACCGGACUGUGUGAAGAGGGGCCGGAUCACAGACCCAAGAAUUAGUCUAGAAUAGGACACCUUGUAAAAAAAAAAAAAAAAAGAAAGGGGAUCAAAGCAGCCUUUCAAGAUAAUAAGAUGAACCAGUUAGAUAUUGCUGGUUCUACAAUUUCUAUCCCAUCAUAAAUACCUUGACAACAUAAGUUAUCUUCAUAAGAAAAAGGAUAUUUGGCUGAAUACCACCUUCACACCAUAGUAACUGUGGCAGGGGAUGCUUCAUAAUUAUUGAACUUCAGCUAGAAAAGGAUUUCGGAAAUCCCUCUUUCUUCAUCUAAAAAUUUGGGGUUUUAUACUCUCAAGCAUAAAUGUUAAUUAGAGAUUCUAAACAUUGUCUACCAUGGGAAUUCAGAGUAAGGGAAAUAGAUGUAAUGAAAUUAACACGUUGCUCUAAAUUACUGGUGUUAGAUGAAUGAAUUUCUUGAAUAGAGGGAUAAAGAUAAAACGAAAGAAAGAAGAGCAAACACAUUGUACAGAAAAAUAAAAAAACUACGAAUUACAUAACUUCUCUGAAUUCUUCGCAAAACAUGAAAAGCCAUAAAAAUCUAGACAAAUCAUUCAUCAUCACAUGAUUCUCCAAUUUCCCCCAACAAGACUCAGUGAUAUUGAGCAAGCACACUUACUUAUGGUACAACACACGGCCUCAAGCUGCUAUGCGAUAUCCCUCAAUUGUUUGCACCAUCUCAGCUGAUUGAGAAAUUACAUAAGUACCUUUACUUUCUACAUAGAUUUGAUGGAAAUUACCUAUUCAACAGCUUGAAGUCGUUGUAAAGAAGUGGUUUGGCUCUGUGAAUCUAUGGCGGCAAAUCACGGUUUCGGCCCGACCCG
rnacentral:lncRNA from 1 species